GUGGGGAAUAUUGCACAAUGGGCGAAAGCCUGAUGCAGCAACGCCGCGUGAGGGACGACGGCCUUCGGGUUGUAAACCUCUUUUAGUAGGGAAGAAGCGAAAGUGACGGUACCUGCAGAAAAAGCACCGGCUAACUACGUGCCAGCAGCCGCGGUAAUACGUAGGGUGCAAGCGUUAUCCGGAAUUAUUGGGCGUAAAGAGCUCGUAGGCGGUCUGUCGCGUCUGCUGUGAAAACUGGAGGCUCAACCUCCAGCCUGCAGUGGGUACGGGCAGACUAGAGUGCGGUAGGGGAGAUUGGAAUUCCUGGUGUAGCGGUGGAAUGCGCAGAUAUCAGGAGGAACACCGAUGGCGAAGGCAGAUCUCUGGGCCGUAACUGACGCUGAGGAGCAAAAGCGUGGGGAGCGAACAGGAUUAGAAACCCGAGUAGUCC
rnacentral:rRNA from 1 species